GACGAACCGUGCGAACGUUUGUUUCGGAAUCACUGGGCUUAAAGGGCGCGUAGGCGGCUUGCCAAGUCAGGGGUGAAAUCCUGCAGCUCAACUGUAGAAGUGCCUUUGAUACUGGCGAGCUCGAGGGAGAUAGGGGUGGGUGGAACUUCUGGUGGAGCGGUGAAAUGCGUUGAUAUCAGAAGGAACGCCGGUGGCGAAAGCGACCCACUGGAUCUUUUUCU
rnacentral:rRNA from 1 species